CGCUCGACUCUUGCUGCACAGACAAAGGCACAGGUUGUCAAGACAGGUGUGCUGAGUCAUGGUGUGUCAGACAGACAGGUGUGCUGAGUCAUGGUGUGUCAGUCAGACGGACAGGUGUGCUGAGUCAUGGUGUGUCAGUCAGACGGGUGUACUGAGUCAUGGUGUGUCAGUCAGACGGGUGUACUGAGUCAUGGUGUGUCAGACAGACGGGUGUGCUGAGUCAUGUUGUGUCAGACAGACGGGUGUGCUGAGUCAUGGUGUGUCAGACAGGUGUGUGCUGAGUCAUGGUGUGUCAGACAGGUGUGCUGAGUCAUGGUGUGUCAGACAGUCAGACAGGUGUGCCGAGUCAUGGUGUGUCAGUCAGACAGGUGUGCUGAGUCACGGUGUAUCAGACAGACAGACAGGUGUGCUGAGUCAUGGUGUGUCAGACAGACAGGUGUGCUGAGUCAUGGUGUAUCAGACAGACAGGUGUGCUGAGUCAUGGUGUAUCAGACAGACAGGUGUGCUGAGUCAUGGUGUGUCAGUCAGACAGGUGUGUACUUUGUGU